rnacentral:tRNA from 1 species
GAGGUGGCCGAGUGGCUGAAGGCGCUCCCCUGCUAAGGGAGUAUGGGUUAAAAGCCCAUCGAGGGUUCGACAAGCGGCCGCAGGCCGCGCAGCGACGCUGGCCCGCAGGGCGAGGCCGUCAGGCCGAGUAAUCCCGACCGCAUCU